UGAGAUCUUGAGCACAUUGUAAUUUUUUUUGAAAAUUAGCCUUUGGCAAUCCUUUCCUGAAAACUUGAGAAACAGAGUGUUUUCCUCCGUCUAUGACAAGGUAGCAGGCAUGCUUUGAUGCUUCUGAUGGACAAUGGAAUGAAAAUAGGCAGAUGCGGUGUGAUUAGAACCACAUUUAACAUUCAUAAGAAAAAAAGACUGGACAAGGUAUACCAAAAUGUGUUAGACUGGCAUUUUUCUUUAUUAUAUUUUCCAAAAAUUUAAAAAUAUGGGCUGAUGCUUACCUUUGUUAGGAGAAAUAUAGUGAAGCUAAAGUCUAAGCCUUUGUUUAAUUGAUGGAUUAGUGAUUGUUUUAUGGAUCUCAAAGGGCUGGGGAGAGGCCUCUGUACAGCCACUGCGGUCGGUCAGUGGGCAGUUCUGCUGGAGAGUGAAGGAACAUGUGAUGAUAGUAAUAGUAAUAAUAACAAUAAUCAGUAUAUAUAGUGUCCCAGGAAUUGUACUAAGCAGCAUCUCAUUUAACCCUCUCAACAACCCUUUGAUAUAGCUAUUUGCAGUAUGCCCAUUUUACAGAUGAGGAAACUGAGAAGGUUAGGAAACUUAGGAGGUUUAGGUGACUUGUCCAACUAGUACCGUAUGUGGUGGAGAAGGCAUUGGAACUUGGGUUCCUAACCUCCUUGCUACCUGUGCCAUGUGGAAAAUGCUGGAAGUCCUGGGAUCCUCUUCUGAAAAAUCACCCCCACUGCCUGCAUCCAAGGCCUCAGAAUCUAUUCAUCCCUGAGGCAUUUACUGAACUUCCUUGUGUCCCCGCUGAGGCUAAAGCGUGGCCAGAGUCUUCCGGUACCUCAGGAGCCAGGAGGAGCAGGCAGGGAGCAGCACUGCAGUCCUCCUGCCUCCGGUGUCUCCCCUCCCCUGCAUGGCUGCCACAAGCCAUUUCGGUCAGUGGGAAGGUGGGCGCAGAGCAUUGCCGGGGGCGAGCACCUGAACGCGCCAGUCAGAGCCCACCUUUUCCAGGAUGUUUGCACUCGGGCCAGGUCCUGUCUUCCCAAGGCCUAAUGGUGUGUGAGACGCAGCCCAGAGAAGGCCACAGCGGUGGGUGCCCAAGACGCCGGGACAGUGGGCAGACCAGGCCGCAGGAGGUCUGAGCAAGGGGUCUACACGCUCCGAGGUCCAGCACGCCCAGCGUGGGUUCCAGAACACGGGCCAGGGCACUCUUAACCAUUUCUCAUUUCCUUCAGUCUGUCCAAGUUGGGUUCCUGACACCUGUAACCAAGGACUCCUGCUGACGUGGCCCCCGAGGUGGUCAGGCUCAGCCGAGGGUCAUUCACGCUGACGCAGAGAGGCUGACCGGCGGAUCAGGGAGCUGUUGGUCUUACUGUGAGAAAUGCGACUGCUCACUGCGUCACCUUUCCUGUCAUUAUUGCUAGUGUCUCCUUUCCCUGGGGAAAAGCCACCUGGAUUGACAGACGGCCUCUCGGAACCUGCUUGGCGGGCAGGCCCUCGCGCCGGCGGUGUCCUUACAGCCAGUGGCUUCAAGCUAGGAUUGCCCAGAAGUCAAAAAACUGUUUCUGUUAAGGAAAAACAUUUUAGACUUUGCAGCCUUUGUUGCAGCUAUUCAACUCUGCCACUGUAGUGUGAAAACAGCCAAAGACACAAUAUAAAUGAGUGUGCACAUACCUGUGUCCCAAUAAAACUUUAUUUAU